rnacentral:rRNA from 1 species
CGGCGGACGGGUGAGUAACGCGUGGGUAACCUGCCUCAUACAGGGGGAUAACAGUUAGAAAUGACUGCUAAUACCGCAUAAGACCACAGGAUCGCAUGAUCCGGUGGUAAAAACUACCGGUGGUAUGAGAUGGACCCGCGUCUGAUUAGGUAGUUGGUGGGGUAACGGCCUACCAAGCCGACGAUCAGUAGCCGACCUGAGAGGGUGACCGGCCACAUUGGGACUGAGACACGGCCCAG